GUCGUGAGAUGUUGGGUUAAGUCCCGCAACGAGCGCAACCCCCGUCGUAUGUUGCCAGCAUUUAGUUGGGGACUCAUGCGAGACUGCCGGUGACAAACCGGAGGAAGGUGGGGAUGACGUCAAGUCAUCAUGCCCCUUAUGUCCAGGGCUACACACGUGCUACAUUGGCGCGUACAGAGGGCUGCGAUACCGCGAGGUGGAGCGAAUCCCUCAAAGCGCGUCUCGGUUCGGAUUGCAGGCUGAAACUCGCCUGCAUGAAGGCGGAGUUGCUAGUAAUCGCGGAUCAGCACUGCCGCGGUGAAUACGUUCCCGGGCCUUGUACACACCGCCCGUCACACUACGGGAGUGAGCAACACCCGAAGCCGGUGGCCUAACCCGCAAGGGAGGGAGCCGUCGAAGGUGGGGCUCGUGACUGGGGUGAAGUCGUAACAAGGUAGCCGUAGCGGAAGCUGCGGCUGGAUCACCUCCUUUCUAGGGAGCCCUCCUCAACCGGAGGGCACCGGAUCACGCGUGGGACUGCAUUCGGGGCCUUCGUGUCCCGCCAGCCCCGGAGCAAGAGCUUGCUCUUUCUCCAAUGGAACUGCGAAGCAGUUGCACCGCGACCGGCCACUAGAUAUGUCGACCGGACUUGGACAAGUGGAAGCGCGUAAGCGGCUUUCACCAUGCUGUUGAGUUUUGAGAGACCGGCGCGCGCCGGCGGCUCGAGAGGACUUCGGUCCCGAGAGCUCGCCGGGGCACGCUCCGCCUCUUCGCGGACCUUGAAAACUGCACAGUAGCCAAUGUAAUUGGGUAUCUGGGCAACAGGUCUUAACGCCUGUUGCCUGGGGAAAUCUAACGAUUUCUCCGAUGGUGCUUCCUUCGGGAAGCACCACGAUCACCGUCAAGAUAGUAAGGGCACAUGGUGGAUGCCUUGGCACUAAGAGUCGAUGAAGGGCGUGAACGGCUGCGAUAAGCCGCGGUGAGGCGCUGAAUGGCCUAUGACCCGCGGAUGC
rnacentral:sRNA from 1 species